AUGAAUAAACUUGGUGAGUUGUAGCUGGCUCUACGGAGCAUUGUGCACACUCAUCAUAUUUAUCUAUCCACCUGUGCACACUCUGUAGUCUUGAGGGAAUUUGAGAAGUGGAUCAUUAACUUGGUCUAUUGUAUCACUUGACCUUGAGUUCUAUGUGUCUUCAUACACUACAUAACCAGUCGCAGAAUGUAUUUAAUGGGCCUUUGUGCCUAUAAAAACUAUAUA
rnacentral:misc_RNA from 1 species